GUAAGGAACUUGGUUCCUCGAAUAACUUCUGCCACAGACAUCUGAGGGCAUGGCCGUCCAAGAAGAAAAUGUAGCCAUUGGUGCCAUCUAUCGACCACAGGUUAAAGAUUGGCGAUCCGUUGGAUACCGACCGAGAUAUAGGCAAAACUUGGUGCAAAAAUGAGCCUUAGUUUUAUUUCUUUUAAUCUUUUGAUUUUUUUAUUAUUUUUCACAAUUUUUUUUAUUUGAAGCAUUACUGGAGUGAAAAGAAACACAUUGCAACCAAUUGGCAUUAAAAUAAAUCAAUUUCAUUUUUUUUUGCAAAAUUUCCCAAAAAAAUCGUAAGGGGUAAGCCUUAUGAAAUUUUCGAGCUGAAAUUAUUUUUAAAUUUUUUUCUGAUUUUUUAUUAUUUUUUUAAUUCAAAGCAUUAUUUGAGUGAAAAGAAACACAUUGCAACAAAUUUGCAUGAAAAUAUAUGACAUUUAAAAAUUUUGCUAAAUUGCUCAAAAAUGAGGAAAAUUUUACAUUUUUUCAAACAGGGUAAGGAACUUGGUUCCUCGAAUAACUUCUGCCACAGACAUCUGAGGACAUGGCCGUCCAAGAAGAAAAUGUAGCCAUUGGUGCCAUCUAUCGACCACAGGUUAAAGAUUGGCGAUUCGUUGGAUAUC